UCUGCCCGUCCCUUCUCUCUCUCUCUCUCUCUCUCUCUCUCUCUCUCUCUCUCUCUCUCCUGAACCCUUCCUCACGAAUACUCCCCUCUCACGAACCCCUCUUCUCUCCCUAAGCAUCCCCUCUCUCUCAAUCUCAAGAAGACUCACCUCUCUCACGCCAUAAUCUGCGUCCAUUUUAGGCUUUGGAGAAACAUAGGAUUGAUCAGUCACUUGAACACACUAGCCUGUUUAUUAAGAAGCUGAAGAAAGUGUUGGAGGGCUUCCUAUGUUCUUCACAAAAAGUGUGAAGAAGCUCCUGGUAAAAAUCCUGCAGUUUGAUAAAAUUGAAAGCCUACUGACCAAUUUUCAGCCCCAAAGAAAUCACCAAAGAAUAAACUGAUGUAUCGACUCACCAAUAGAAAUUUUCCUUAUGCAGGUAAGUUGUGUACACAUGUCCCUUUUUAUAUUCAAGCCAUUCCCUUGAUUUAUGCAAAACUAGGCUACCCAAAACUUAUGGACAACUCCCAUUGCCUUUGAACUGCUAUAACUAGCAUGUGUGGAUUGGCAAAAGUGUGAAUGCACUUGCCCUAAAUGUUUAUGAGGAGUCUAGUUCUCUACAUGAAGCAAAUUUUUCUGAGGGAGUAUUCAAGCUCUCGGGACAUUUAUUUGGUCAUUCUGAUACUUUCUUCCCAAAGGUAUGCAUGAUUCACAUCCAAACACAACCCAUUACUAGGUUGUGUUUGGAUGCAAUAUUCAUGAACUUCAUAAUUUUAUUCUUUUCAUAUACGCAAUUAUAUCUACGGAUAUUUUCUUUUGAAAUCCAGAACCCGAGAUUUUAAGGAUUCAUCCUGUUUUGUCGAUAAUAUAUGUGAUAGUUCUACAUAAUGUUGCUACUCAAGCCACAUGCACCUCCCAGAACCGCAUUAGUAAUAUCUCUGCAUUCACCAUCAUGAUUUUCUCAUGCUCUUAACCAUUGCAUGUCUUUAAGCAGGUAAUGAAUUUUAUUUACAAGUACAAUUGCAAUAUUCUUUACAGUCCAUACAUGUGCUCUAACUAGGAC